AACACAACGGAAAAGAAUUUGACGGAUGGUGCAAUAGUCGGGAUAGCAAUUAGCAUUGUCACAGUGCUGAUUGUAGGCAUUCUCCUUUGCAUCUAUUGUUUGAAAAGACGAAGUCACUGCUGCUCCAAAAAGGAUGAACAGAACAGCGAGGUGGUCCAACCCGAUCAAGAAGAAUUGAACCUACUUGAGACAUCAGUUGACGGUUCCAAAGAUGGAAAUGCAGAAUCUUCAGACCCAACUGGACGACCAAAAGCAGCUGCUAAACGUUCAAAAAAUGAAGAAGGUGAGA